GACCCUCUCAAGAAAGACCCAGGUUGACAGAGGGAUGAAUAGUGGAUUUCUGGGUAUACAAAAGACCAAAAAAAUCCAGCACACAGGUGCCAAGGCUCCACCCCAGAUUCACUCAGCAACAUGUCUACAUCUGGAUCUUGAGAGUCCCGUGUUUUCCGUUCAGCCAGAUUGAGGAAAUUACUUCUCUGUGAUGAAGAGUUAAGUGCUGGUGUGGAGACGGGACAGCUGGAGGAGCACAUGGGGAACGGAAGUUCAGAAGCUCAGUUCCUGGUUUUGUCUGUUUGCCAUCAGACAUUUUCAGAGCACUCGUGAAUUGUAAAGACCACUAUUAUUCAAAACAGACUCCUAAUACCUGGGAGAGGCAAUGGAAAGAGAGUUUUCCUUUGGGUAAAUUCGGGAAAGCAGCACAGUAGAGAAUGGCCUCCAGGGCACUUUCCUGAGGGCUGGCCAGAUUUCUACCCUGCUGGCGGGGAAAGGACGAUUCUACCAGACACUUGGCUGCUUAUUGACUGGAAAGGAAAUUCCUGGAGAGAGACUUUACUGUUCCAAGGCUUUUGAGACACAAGGGAAUCCCAGUGACCGAGGAUCCUGGGAAAGGCCGGAAAGCUCGUGUGCCCAGUCCUGCGAACUCAGGCCAUCUCCUCAGAGGGAAGUGCUGCUGCUCUGGCCUAGGGAGAUAAAGGCCAAGUCCAGGAACUGACUCAUCAACCAGGGAUCUGUGUGACUCCCCUUCUCACUCCUGCUUUCUCAUCAGUCCAUCCCCGUUCUUUCUUCUGUUCGCAGACCCUGUAGGUCCAUAGAAGGCAAGCAAUGAGCAACUUGACUUGCUCCCUUCCCCUCAGAUCUCUCCUUAAUAAUUGAAAGGAAGGAUAUUUUUUCUUUUAAAGCUCCAUAUUAAGGCUGAGACAGUUCAUCCUCUCUCUCUUAGCGCUUGGACUUGACACCUGAAACCUACCCAUCCUUCACCUAUGCAGCUCAUACCUUUUCCAUCAAGAGUCCAUCUCCCUGCCUCCUGACAUCUUGGAGCUUUCUCAAGGGCCACAAUACCUCACCUAGCUUGAGGGCCUAAGUCCUAAUGCUGUGUUAGUUACAUUGCCAGAACAAAUUAAGAUUUGCAAAGAAAAAAAAAAAAAGCCUGGGCUCCUGGCUGGCUCAGUCUGUACAACACAUGACUCUGGAUCUCGGUUGUGAGUUGAAGUCCCACGUCAGACAUGGAGCUUACUUAAAAAAAAGAAAAAGAAAGCCGGUUCUCUCGUGUACAUGACCCCACCACAAAGCAGCUCUGUAAUUCAUACUGUGAGUUGCCUAGUUGGUUGCACCAUCCUAGACCUGUAACUACCCAAGUUCAACAAUAUACAGCUCUCUCUUUACUUCAACAUGUACAUCAAUAUACUCUGGUCAUGUUGUGCCUGAUUUUCUGUCA